UACCUGUAACACAAUAAUAAUAAUAAUGCUUAAACUGUCGAUAGAUGGCAGUGCAGAAAUCUGUGUGCAGAACAGGAAAGUUAGAUGGCGUUGCUGUGCCCUCAUUCUGAGUGAUUGCAAGUAACGAGUGAAAUUUGUGUCAGCAAUUUUUCGUAAUUCUGGUGUGUUUCUAAGGAUUUUUAACUCAGUUAUAACGGUAUGUGAGACUCUGAAUUAGAGUAAUGAACUACUGCUGUUUGUCUCUUUCCUAUCAUGCCAUUUCUCACUGACAAAGUUUACCUCUCUCCAGCCAAACAUUGCACCAAAUGGCAUACUCUUUUCUUGAGUUGCUAAUGAAUUCAAGUCCACAAGAAAUGGCUCCGCAACAGCAAGAUUAACAAUACCAUCAUCAGACUCGACUGUAAUCUUCAUCUACUUUGGAUUGUCAACCAUCUACUACCAGUUUCUUGCAGAUCCAGCAUUGGAAGUUUCUACACUUGGCCAAUCAUCAACAACCAUGAAUCCAGUCUUCACAGCUUCCCUUCUUUGCCAGCCAAGAACCAGAAUCAGUUAGCUUCAGCAUCCUAGCAUGAAAUCGUCAUUUUCAAAUGCCAUCUCAACUGUUUGCAGCCUUUAUCACUCUUCUUAGCCUGACAACAUGCAUACUGUUAUGCCAGCCUUUUUAAAUACUCUUCAUGCCAUCACCUCAUUAUGAAUUGUCAAGUUUUCAUUUGCAUUUAUGUUCAAAAACGCUGUCAAGUAGUUAUCAUGCCGCCGUAUGAGAUUAAAAACAUAAUGCCCACAGCCGAGUGAAAGAGGGCAUCUCAAAAUCUUUGCGGCUCCAAAACAGCUGACGGGGAUGGCAUUCGGCGCAACGUGGAACUUCUCGUCUAUUUUGGUAUUGUUUGUGUGUGUGUGUUUGUGUUUGUGAGUUAACCCGUU